rnacentral:rRNA from 1 species
CAGCAGCCGCGGGAAUACAGAGGGUGCGAGCGUUAAUCGGAAUUACUGGGCGUAAAGCGUGCGUAGGUGGUGGUUUAAGUCCGUUGUGAAAGCCCUGGGCUCAACCUGGGAAUUGCAGUGGAUACUGGGUCACUAGAGUGUGGUAGAGGAUAGUGGAAUUUCCGGUGUAGCAGUGAAAUGCGUAGAGAUCGGAAGGAACAUCUGUGGCGAAGGCGACUAUCUGGGCCAACACUGACACUGAGGCACGAAAGCGUGGGGAGCAAACAGGAUUAGAUACCCCUGUAGUCCCUGUCUCUUAUAU